CCUACGGGAGGCAGCAGUGAGGAAUAUUGGUCAAUGGACGAGAGUCUGAACCAGCCAAGUAGCGUGAAGGAUGACUGCCCUAUGGGUUGUAAACUUCUUUUAUAUGGGAAUAAAAUGUUCCACGUGUGGGAUUUUGUAUGUACCAUAUGAAUAAGGAUCGGCUAACUCCGUGCCAGCAGCCGCGGUAAUACGGAGGAUCCGAGCGUUAUCCGGAUUUAUUGGGUUUAAAGGGAGCGUAGGUGGAUUGUUAAGUCAGUUGUGAAAGUUUGCGGCUCAACCGUAAAAUUGCAGUUGAAACUGGCAGUCGUGAGUACAGUAGAGGUGGGCGGAAUUCGUGGUGUAGCGGUGAAAUGCUUAGAUAUCACGAAGAACUCCGAUUGCGAAGGCAGCUCACUGGACUGCAACUGACACUGAGGCUCGAAAGUGUGGGUAUCAAACAGGAUUAGAGACCCUAGUAGUC
rnacentral:rRNA from 1 species